rnacentral:rRNA from 1 species
GUAAGGGAUAUUGGGCAAUGGGGGCAACCCUGACCCAGCCAUGCCGCGUGAGGGAAUGAGGCCCUACGGGUCGUGAACCUCUUUUGCCCGGGGACAAGGGCGCGGUCGGGAACCGCGCUUGAGGGUACCGGGAGAAUAAGCGUCGGCUAACUCCGUGCCAGCAGCCGCGGUAAUACGGAGGACGCGAGCGUUAUCCGGAUUCAUUGGGUUUAAAGGGUGCGCAGGCGGCUCGUCAAGUCAGCGGUGAAAGCCCGGGGCCCAACCCCGGAAGUGCCGUUGAUACUGUCGGGCUGGAAUGCGGUCGGGGCGGGCGGAACGUGGCGUGUAGCGGUGAAAUGCGUAGAUAUGCCACAGAACGCCGUUGGCGGAGGCGGCUCGCCAGGCCUGCAUUGACGCUCGGGCACGAAAGCGUGGGGAUCGAACAGGAUUAGAAACCCUAGUAGUCC